AAUACAAACAUGAAAUCUUAACCAAAUCAAACUGUCAACUUAUUUGAGUAGCUAAAUUUACUCCAUCAAAUGUGACCUUAACUUAAACUCCCAACAAACAUGCCCUUAAUUAUCAGCUCUCGAAAAUGGUUACUAUCCAUCUUCAAACCAAUCUCCACCCAAUGUGUCUCUCUUUAGAAUCAUCCCCCAAUUGCCUCUCUCUAGAAUCACCAACCCAAAAAUUUCCAAAACAUAAAGGAAGAAUUGCUCUUCUACUGAUCUUUAGCAUCAUAUAUUCCAUAUCACUAUCUCAAAAAUCCACCAUUACCCAAAUCUCGUCGCAUAAUCUGUUUGAGUAAUGUAUCGACUAAAUCAAAAGGUUUAGGCAACUGCAACGGGCCUGCACACCAAUUCCAAAUGUAUUGCCAUGAACACCCAUGCGAAGGAUAAUGGAAAAAGGUCAUCGAAGAUGUAGCUCCAGACCCAAGCACGAAAAAGAAAAAGAUCGUGACACCACACGGGUUAGGACUCUACCGAAUGUAACUAGACAUGAUCAAUGAUUAAAAGAUUUUUUUUUUUAGUUAAGUCUACUCAAGCGUAUUACAUAUGUAAAGAGUGUUUUAUUUUAUGGUGACUGAUGGAGUAUAUGAAAAUACAUCAAAGACAUAUGAUAUUGUAUUCUGGAU
rnacentral:lncRNA from 1 species